GCCGCGAGCCGGCCGCCCGCGCGCACCCGCCCCGCCCCCGCCUCACUUGACCUGGGGACACAAGGGAGUCCGCGCGGGACCUGGGAAGACCGCCGCGUUCUUGGGAGGCCCUCCGCGCCCAGGCUGGGCCUACGACCCGGCCCCGCAAGCUGAGGGCCGCCCGCGUCACGGGGGGCUCACUUACGAGAGCUAUGGUCGCCGUCGCCAUCUUGCGUCCGUCGCGGCCACCGCGCGCACCACCCACUCCUGCUCCUUCCGCGGUCUCGCGCGAUCUGGGCGCCGGCGCACGGAACUCUCGCGAGGAAGGAAGCUCACGUCGUGAGAUGCUUCGUCCCCGCGUUGCGACAUCCUUGGGGCCGGGAAGCCUCGUUCAAUUGGCAGCCUUUUCUCCUUCCAGGGAACAGAUGACCGUAGGUUGGCUGACAUCAGUCACUAGGCCCGCAGGCCACAGGCCCCCUUAGUACCUGAACUGGCUUUCAUGGCCCAAAGUGUUUAUCAGUACUGCUGGGAAAGCUGCCCGUCCUGCACAUUUGCCAUCUGCUGCACCCAGUCCCGAGACCCCAACUCGGUCAUCUGAAGAAGCCACAUCUGUAAGCUCAGGCACCUUCAGUGCCUGAGGCCACAAGGCAUCCCGGGCAGGCCUCCUUUCAACCCUGGGAACGUUUAGAAUUUAAUAAAGACACCUCUACUUAAA